AACCAUAGAAACCUGCGGAGUACCUGCGGAGGGAUCAUUACCAGAGAGCCUUUUGGCACUCCAACCCAUUGUGAACAUACCUAUCGUUCCCUCGGCGGGCUCAGCGCGCGGGGCCUCCGGGCUUCCGGGCGUCCGCCGGGGACAACCAAACCCUGAUUUACUACGUGUAUCUCUGAGGGGCGAAAGCCCGAAAACAAAAUAAAUCAAAACUUUUAGCAACGGAUCUCAGAUCGGAAGAGC
rnacentral:misc_RNA from 1 species